CCUACGGGUGGCAGCAGUGAGGAAUAUUGGUCAAUGGACGAGAGUCUGAACCAGCCAAGUAGCGUGAAGGAUGACUGCCCUAUGGGUUGUAAACUUCUUUUAUAUGGGAAUAAAACGUUCCACGUGUGGGAUUUUGUAUGUACCAUAUGAAUAAGGAUCGGCUAACUCCGUGCCAGCAGCCGCGGUAAUACGGAGGAUCCGAGCGUUAUCCGGAUUUAUUGGGUUUAAAGGGAGCGUAGGUGGAUUGUUAAGUUAGUUGUGAAAGUUUGCGGCUCAACCGUAAAAUUGCAGUUGAAACUGGCAGUCUUGAGUACAGUAGAGGUGGGCGGAAUUCGUGGUGUAGCGGUGAAAUGCUUAGAUAUCACGAAGAACUCCGAUGGCGAAGGCAGUUCACUGGACUGCAACUGACACUGAGGCUCGAAAGUGUGGGUAUCAAACAGGAUUAGAUACCCCAGUAGUC
rnacentral:rRNA from 1 species